rnacentral:rRNA from 1 species
GACGAACGCUGGCGGCGUGCUUAACACAUGCAAGUCGAACGGAAAGGCCCUGCUUUUGUGGGGUGCUCGAGUGGCGAACGGGUGAGUAACACGUGAGUAACCUGCCCUUGACUUUGGGAUAACUUCAAGAAACUGGUGCUAAUACCGGAUAGGAGCUCCUGCUGCAGGGUGGGGGUUGGAAAGUUUCGGCGGUUGGGGAUGGACUCGCGGCUUAUCAGCUUGUUGGUGGGGGAGUGGCUUACCAAGGCUUUCACGGGUAGUCGGCAUGAGAGGGUGACCGGCGACCUUGGGACUGAGAUACGGCCCAGAGUCCUACGGGAGGCAGCAGUGGGGAAUAUUGCACAAUGGGGGGAAGCCUGAUGCAGCAACGCCGCGUGCGGGAUGACGGCCUUCGGGUUAUAAACCGCUUUCGCCUGUGACGAAGCGUGAGUGACGGUAAUGGGUAAAGAAGCACCGGCUAACUACGUG